CUACGGGUUGCUGCAGUGGGGAAUAUUGCACAAUGGGCGCAAGCCUGAUGCAGCCAUACCGCGUGUGUGAAGAAGGCCUUAGGGUUGUAAAGCACUUUCAGUAGGGAGGAAAGGUUAGUCGCUAAUAUCGGCUAACUGUGACGUUACCUACAGAAGAAGCACCGGCUAAUUCCGUGCCAGCAGCCGCGGUAAUACGGAAGGUGCGAGCGUUAAUCGGAAUUACUGGGCGUAAAGCGCGCGUAGGUGGAUUGGUCAGUCAGAUGUGAAAGCCCCGGGCUCAACCUGGGAACUGCACCUGAUACUGCCAGUCUAGAGUACGGUAGAGGGCAGUGGAAUUUCCUGUGUAGCGGUGACAUGCGUAGAUAUAGGAAGGAACACCAGUGGCGAAGGCGACUGCCUGGACCGAUACUGACACUGAGGUGCGAAAGCGUGGGUAGCAAACAGGAUUAGAUACCCCCGUAGUC
rnacentral:rRNA from 1 species